AAGUCAGCGGCGGACGGGUGAGUAACACGUGGGCAACCUGCCUGUAAGACUGGGAUAACUUCGGGAAACCGGAGCUAAUACCGGAUAAUCCUUUUCCUUUCAUGAGGAAAAGCUGAAAGACGGUUUCGGCUGUCACUUACAGAUGGGCCCGCGGCGCAUUAGCUAGUUGGUGAGGUAACGGCUCACCAAGGCGACGAUGCGUAGCCGACCUGAGAGGGUGAUCGGCCACACUGGGACUGAGACACGGCCCAGACUCCUACGGGAGGCAGCAGUAGGGAAUCUUCCGCAAUGGACGAAAGUCUGACGGAGCAACGCCGCGUGAGUGAUGAAGGCCUUCGGGUCGUAAAGCUCUGUUGUUAGGGAAGAACAAGUAUCGGAGUAACUGCCGGUACCUUGACGGUACCUAACCAGAAAGCCACGGCUAACUACGUGCCAGCAGCCGCGGUAAUACGUAGGUGGCAAGCGUUGUCCGGAAUUAUUGGGCGUAAAGCGCGCGCAGGCGGUCCUUUAAGUCUGAUGUGAAAGCCCACGGCUCAACCGUGGAGGGUCAUUGGAAACUGGGGGACUUGAGUGCAGAAGAGGAGAGCGGAAUUCCACGUGUAGCGGUGAAAUGCGUAGAGAUGUGGAGGAACACCAGUGGCGAAGGCGGCUCUCUGGUCUGUAACUGACGCUGAGGCGCGAAAGCGUGGGGAGCAAA
rnacentral:rRNA from 2 species